GACGAACGCUGGCGGCGUGCUUAACACAUGCAAGUCGAACGGGAAGGCCCUGUUUUUGUGGGGUGCUCGAGGUGCGAACGGGUGAGUAACCCGUGAGUACCCUGUCCCUGACUUUGGGAUGUCUUCAGGACACUGGGGCUAAUACGGGCAAGGAGUUCCUGCUGCAUGGUGGGGGCUGGAUAGUUUCGGUGGUUGGUGAGGGACUCGCGGCUCAUCAGCUUGUUGGUUGGGUAGUGGCUUAGCAAGGCCAUGAAAGGUGGCCGGCCUGAGCGGAUGACCGGACACACUACGACUGGAAUGCGACCCAGACUCCUCCGGGAGGCAGCAGUGGGGAAUAUUGCACAGUGGGCGGAGGCCAGAUGCAGUAAAGCCGCGUGCGGGAUGUCGGGCUUCGGGUUGUAUUCUACUUUCGCCUGUGCCGAAGUGAGAAUGACGGUAAUGGGUGAAUAAGCACCGGCUAACUACGUG
rnacentral:rRNA from 1 species